rnacentral:rRNA from 1 species
CACGUAGGCACCAAGCGUUAUCCGGAUUUAUUGGGCGUAAAGAGCUCGUAGGCGGUUCGGUAAGUCGGGUGUGAAAACUCUGGGCUCAACCCAGAGAGGCCGCCCGAUACUGCUGUGACUAGAGUGCGGUAGGGGAGCGGGGAAUUCCUGGUGUAGCGGUGAAAUGCGCAGAUAUCAGGAGGAACACCUGCGGUGUAGACGGCUUACUGGACCAUAACUGACGCUGAGGCACGAAAGCGUGGGUAGCAAACAGG